CGUUGAUGCCAGCCGUCGCUUGCUGGAAAGCCAGUAAGAGGAAAGUCCGGACAACGCAGCGCACCGCACCACCUAACGGGUGGGGGUUAAGGGGGCGACCCCUUAGCUACAGAGAGUGUCACAGAAAAUAAACCGUCUCCGUCCACCGGAGCCUUGGCAAGGGUGGACUUAAAACUCAAAGAACUUAGCAGGGCUUGCCCCGGCUAAAGUUUCGGCGAGUGGGAUAAGGGUGAAAACGUGCGGUAAGAGCGCACGUCGUCGGGUAGUAAUACUCGGGGAGAUAAACCUUGCGGGUUGAAAUGCCAUGUAAACGCCGAUUCCCUGUGGGUCUUCGGACCUCGACCUUAGUGUCGGGGGAGCUGGGUUGCGCGCUCAGUAAGUAAUUGUCGGCGAGGGUAGGCAGAUAGAGCCCUGGGGUGACCCUGGGCCUAGAUAAAUGACGGCCAUCCGCCACGGGCGGAUCACAGAAUCCGGCUUAUGUGCAUCAUUAAUUA
rnacentral:RNase_P_RNA from 1 species